AACAUGUCUGUUUGGAGUUAUAAAAAGUCUGGCCUGCCCACUGAUAGAGUUUAAAGGGCCGCGGUAUUUUGACCGUGCAAAGGUAGCAUAGUAGUUAGGUUUUUAAUUGAGAUCUUGUAUGAAUGGUUCGACAAAGAAACAUCUGUCUUUGUAUUUAACUAUUGAAUUUAACUUCCAAGUGAAAAGGCUUGGAUAAAUUAAAAAGACGAUAAGACCCUAUAAAACUUAAUAUAUUCUCAUUAUCUGAUUGAAAUUAAAUGUAAUAGUUUGGUAAAGAAAUAUAUUGUGUUGGGGCGACAAGGGCAUAAAGUACUGCAACUGUUCUUAUUUAUAGACAUUAAUUAUUGUUUAAUAUUGUAAUUGAUCCUAAUUAAAGAUUCAAAGUUUAAGUUACUUUAGGGAUAACAGCGUUAUUUUUUUUGAGAGUUCUUAUCGAAAAAAAAGAUUGCGACCUCGAUGUUGAAUUAAAAUAUCUGUACAAUUGCAGAAGUUGUAUAAGAAGGUCUGUUCGACCUUUAAAUUUUUACGUGAUCU
rnacentral:rRNA from 1 species